rnacentral:tRNA from 1 species
GCCUUUGUGGUGUAAUGGUAGGACACUCAGUGUGUAUUCAAGAGGUCUAGGUUUGAGUCCUGGCAAGGGCA